rnacentral:lncRNA from 1 species
CUUCACUUCAAAUGUCAUACAUUUGAAGAAAGCAAAACCUAGCACCUGACUCUGCGCCUGAAGUCAACUGUUCUUGCCUUUAGUUUGCUUUCCAAGGAACCCAAAUGAAGAUAGAAUGACUCAAAGAGAAGAUGUAUAGAAGUACUUACAGCAUGUGGCACAUGGUCUCUGUGCCUGGGCACCAAGCAGACUGUGGUAUCAAUUACAGUGGACCCUGUGCAUCCCUCAGCCAUCCAGGCAGGUGCAGACACUCCUCAGGCUAGGGAUAGCCUCAGGAGACUGACUCAGCCAGAAGGUUGCCCUGGAGAAGACCAGGUAGUCCCUGUUGGCAUGCUCAGAGGACGUGUAGAUCUCUCAUGGAUGGUCAGGACAAUCACCAGUACCAGGAUAUCUGGAUCAGGUAAAAGAUAUUCCAAGAGGAGGUUCAGUUCAGAAGGCAAAUGGGGCAGCAAUCAGCACUGAGAUCCCUGUUCAUACACAAUGGGUAAGAGACCCAGGGACCUAAUUCAGCCCAAGGGAAUGGGUUCAGGUGGCGUCUGGGUGAGAAUCAGGGCCAGCGACCAUCAUCUGGGACUGAGAGGACAACUCAAUUCAGAGGCAGAAAUUCAGAUUUCUUGAGGGGCAAUCUAGCAUUUAUCUUUGAAUUAGCAUGAAUUCUUAUAGAAAUGCAGUGUUGCUUUAUAUGUAUAUGAUUUUGAGUUUACACAAAUAGUACAGUAUUAUGAACCUUGUUCUGUAUUUCACUUUUUAAAUCCUAGCACUGAUUUUUUAAAAACAUUUUCUUUCAGGUAUAUUUGUUUAUUUAUUUACUUAUGUAUAACUUUUAUACAGUAACAUGAAAAAUAUUAAGUGUGUAGCUCAAUGAAUUUUUAAUAACAGCUUUGUUGAGAUCUAAAAUCUCAAUCACUGAUCAUAAAAUUCACAGUUUUAAAGUUUCAGUAGUUUUUGGUAUAUUCACAGUUGUGCAAUCUUUACCACUGUCUAAUGCAGAAUAUCUUCAUCACCCCCAAAAUAAAUCCUGUACCCAUUAACAGUCACUUCCUGUUCUUCCCUGCUCCUCACCCGUGCACCCAUUAGUCUACUUUCUGUCUUAUGGAUUUGCCUCUGCCUCUGUGGAUGUUGGAUAUUUCAUAUAAGUAGAAUCAUAUAUGACCUUUCAUUUCUGGCUUCUUUUACUUAGUAUAAUGUUUUCAAGGUUCACCUAUGUCGUGGCAUGCAUAAGUACUUCAUUUCUUUUUACUGCUCAGUAAUAUUCCAUUGUAUGGAUAUACCACAUUUUGUUUAUCCAUUCUUCAGUUGAUGGACAUUUGGGUUGUCUCCACAUUUAAGGUAUUAUUGACAUGAAUAAUGCUGCUAUGAACAUUCAUGUAUAAGUUUUUGUGUGGACAUGUAGUUUCAAUUCUUUUGGGUGUAUACCUAUGAGUGGAAUUCCUGGAUCACAUGCUAAUUAUAUCUUUAACAUUUUGAGGAACUGCCAAACUGUUUUCCAAAAUGGUUGCACCAUUUUACAUUCUCACCAGGAAUAUAUGAGGGUUCCAAUUUCUCUACCUCCUUGCCAACACUUGUUAUUUUCUUUUUAAAUUAUAGCUAUCCUAGUGGGAGUGAAGUGGUAUCUCAUUGCACAUUUUUUUUUGCAUUUUCUGAAUGACUAGUGAUGUUGAGUAUUGUUUCAUGUGCUUAUUUUAGUGACCAUUUGUAUAUCUUCUUUGAAUAAAUAUCUACUCAAGUGUUCAUUGAAUUUUGACAUGUGUCAAGUUACCCUCGUGUAACUAUCACCCAAAUCAAGAUACAGAACAUUUCUACCUCCCUAGAAGACUCCCCUGUUCUUCUUCCCAGUCAACUUCUUUCCCCAAGAGUAACUAUUAUCCAUUUUUAUUUAUUUAUUUAUUUAUUUUUGAGAUGGAGUCUCACUCUGUCGCCCAGGCUGGAGUGCAGUGGCACAAUCUCGGCUCACUGCAACCUCUGCCUCCCGGGUUCAAGCAAUUCUCCUGCCUCAGCCUGCCGAGUAGCUGAG